CAUUAGCUACCUCACAAGUCCUCCUUCUCCUGUACUGCACUGAACGUGGGAUACAGCCAUAAGAUGGAGACAGCUUCCUCAUACAGAUCACCAGGCACGUAAACAACAGUGAAAUGCCUGAUCCCCAGCUCUUUUAUCACCAUAUCAUCCAGCAAGGUUUAAUGUUGAGGGCACCAUAGUGUGGGAAAGCUAUCAUUAACUGGCCCCAGCAAACAUCACUGUACUACUGCUGAGGGGGAAGAGGUUUCUUUAAAGAAACAGUCUAUUAAAAAGCUGAACCAAAAACCGAAUCCAAAUCAGAAACUUGAGGAAGAGAAUUUUACAGAGACGCGUAUAACUUCUUCAACCUGAAAACCAGAACCAUUUGUGACGUCAGAGGCACAUAAACAUUAUUAAACAUGUUACUGUACAUAGGACAUCAUAUGCAAUUAUUAAAUGAUCGGUAAAAAGAAAAUAAGAAGUGUU